AUCAUUUUUUAAUGUACUGAUGUUUGUCCCGUUUUCUUCUUUUGAAAGCUGGCUUUCGCUUUAAAGUUGGUUUUGCUUUUCAAAUUGGGGUUUAAUUGGGAGAGGGGAGGAGCUUGUGUGUUGGGUUUUGGCUUCUUGAACUAUGAGAUCUCUUUCCACUUUGAGAUAAAUGACAUGAUAAUAUGAACAUAUAAUUUUAUCUUUUAAUUUUUAGUAAUAUGACAACAGAAAUGCAUGAAAUGGAGAUGCUUUCUUUCUUUUUAAAAAAAUAAAACAACUUAUUUAUUAUUAUUAUUAUUUCAAUUAUAGACGGGAAAUUCUGCAGCCAUUGCAGCUGCCUUUGGGGGAGGUUUGCCUUCUGGAAUAAUUGGGACAAAUGACAGGUGUACAAUUCUUGUAUCAAAUCUGAAUCCUGACGUAAGCAUUUUGUCAGGCUUCUUCUAGAAAGUUCUCUCCAAUUCUCAGCUCAUUUAGCUUGAAAUUUGCUUAUUUAAGAUAAUUGACGAGGAUAAACUAUUCAACUUGUUCUCUAUUUAUGGGAAUAUUGUGAGAAUUAAACUUCUGCGAAAUAAACCAGAUCAUGCACUUGUUCAGAUGGGAGAUGGUUUUCAAGCUGAAUUAGCUGUACACUUUCUGAAGGUUAUGUAUCUUUCUGACAUUCCUUCAUGGAGAAGCAAGCAUGGUGGAAAAGUUCUUGUGAAUAUUGAUAGCUUUGGUGCUGCUGGAGAUGGAGAAUCUGCCACCUUUAAUGGCGAAGCUAAACACAUUCAGAGACAUGUACAAGGAGGAUGAGAUUAGGGGGAUCUUGGGUGAAUUAGGGACUGACAUUACCAAUGAAAUUGAUUUUGAAGCCUUCUUAAAGGCAUAUUUGAAUUUGCGAACCCAAGCUACAACAUAACAAGGUGGUAGGAGGCACUCUUCAUCAUUCCUCAAGGAUUCCAUAACCACCCUUCUUUACACAAUCAGUGAAUCAGAAAAAGCCUGCUAUGUUGCCCAUAUAAACAACUGCCUUGGUGAUGAUCCAUUUUUGAAGCAUUAUUUUCCAUUGGACCCAGCUACAAAUGAUAUUUUUGAUCUUGCAAAAGAUGGCAUUCUUCUGUGGUAUAUAUAUAUAAGCAGGUAAGCAUAUCAAUGUUGUCGUGCCUGGGACUAUAGAUGAGCGAGCCAUCAAUGCCAAACGAAAACUUAGUCUUUGGGAGGUAAAUGAGAACCAUACACUAUGCCUCAAUUCUGCCAAGGCUAACAUUUGGCACACAGGACUUGGUUGAAGCAAGAGUAAGUUUAGCAAUCUGAACUCCACAAAUUGCUCUACCGACAUUUACCUAGGUUCCAUGGCCCUUUUGUUAAAAUUAGCUUAAAGGGUCGAUUUUGGCACGAGUAUUCCAUGGUUCUUGCCAGAGUCGGUAAUUAUCUCAAACAGAGGAUUCCUGAGAUUUUGGAGGUUGAGAUAGAAGACGAGAAACAAUUGGAUGACAGUCAGAGAAUUUUUAAGGUACCGUGCACGGCUUGCUGCCCUUUGGUCUUUUGUUUUAGGUGGUCGUUGACUAUCCGAUUCUCUAGAUAACAUAAUUUUAGUGUGAAUCAGAAACUGUUGAGAAAUAAUGAUUAUGGGAAUAUCUGUGUAGUUGUACUAUCCUUGUUACAUGUCAUGGUUACUUACACACGAAACUUUCUCAUAUAAUUCUCCUCCGUAUCACCCAUUUCUCUUUGGUCUUUGGGAUACUACCUUGUUGGUGUCAUUGAUCAGACUCACCAAACAACA